rnacentral:rRNA from 1 species
CAACGUAGGUAAUCUACCUUUGGGUGGGGAAUAACUCAGGGAAACUUGAGCUAAUACCGCAUAAUGCAGCGGCAUCAUAAGAUGACAGUUGUUAAAGGAGCAAUCCGCCUAAAGAGGAGCCUGCGGCAGAUUAGGUAGUUGGUAAGGUAAUGGCUUACCAAGCCUGCGAUCUGUAGCCGACCUGAGAGGGUGGUCGGUCACACUGACACUGAAUAACGGGUCAG